UUUGACGAACUCGUUGCGGGUGAGUUUCUCAACUGUUGGUACGUUUAAAUUUUUGUUAAAAGACAAUCCGUAUCAAUCCUCAAACGUUUUACGUCGUACGAAACAGAUUUUGACAUUUUCUUUCCCUUCUCAGCUUCCCCUCUUCGAUAUGAGAGCCAAGUGGCGGAAGAAGCGCAUGCGCAGACUGAAGCGCAAAAGGAGAAAGAUGAGGCAGAGGUCCAAGUGAGCUGCCCCCGUCCUCCCUCGUGGCUGAGUCUCCGCUUUCGCUCGUUGAGAACAGCUGCAGAACCGGAGCUGAGACCUGACGGAGGCCAGUGGCGUUCACGCCUGUCCAAGUCUGUGGAGGAUGACAACCUGGAGAGAAGACCACAAGCUGGACUCUUGUUUUGUGACAUUGUGACCUCUACAUUUCUUUAACUUUUGUCAUGUGUUUUCUUUAUACUAAGAUUAAAGGUUUUGGUUUUCAAAAGUU